GGUCAAGUGACUAAGGGUCCAUGGUGGAUGCCUUGGAGCUAUCCGACGAUGAAGGCCGUGGUAAGCUGCGAAAAGCUGAGAUAAGGAGCAAACAUCCGUUUUACUCUCAGAUUGCCGAAUGGGGUAACCCGGCAGUUUUAAUAACUGUCAUACUCAGGUGAAUACAUAGCCUGUUUAAGUGAGACUCAGGGAACUGAACCAUCUAAGUACCUGAAGGAAAAGAAAUCAAUUGAGAUUCCCUUAGUAGCGGCGAGCGGACGGGGAAUAGCCCAAACCAUGAUAAUUUCGGUUGUUGUGGGGUUGUAGGGCCACCUAUAUGAGAGUAAGAAACCAGUUUGUUAGCGGAAGGUCUCUGGGAAGAGCCACCGAAGAGGGUGAAAGUCCCGUAUGCGAAAAUGAACUGGCUCUCAGGUGGUACCUGAGUACAGCGGAGCACGAGAAAUUCUGCUGGAAUCCGGGGGGACCACCCUCCAAGGCUAAAUACGAGAUAGCUACCGAUAGUGAAUUAGUACCGUGAGGGAAAGGUGAAAAGAACCCCGGGAGGGGAGUGAAAUAGAACCUGAAACCGUGGACCUACAAGCGGUCAAAGCAUGUAUUUAUAUGUGUGAUGGCGUGCCUUUUGUAGAAUGAGCCUGCGAGUUACGAUAUGCAGCAAGGUUAAGGAAUAGAAGUUCCGGAGCCGGAGGGAAACCGAGUGUGAAUAGUGCGAAUUAGUUGUAUGUCGUAGACCCGAAGCCGAGUGAUCUAUCCAUGAGCAGGUUGAAGCUUGAGUAAAAUCAAGUGGAGGACCGAACACUAGUCUGUUGAAAAAGGCUGUGAUGACUUGUGGAUUGGAGUGAAAGGCUAAUCAAACUCGGAGAUAGCUGGUACUCCUCGAAAUGGUUUUAGGAUCAGCCUCAUAUGAUUUUUUGCGGAGGUAGAGCACUGAUUAGGCUAGGGCCCUUCACCGGGUACCAAACUUAGUUAAACUCCGAAUGCCGUAAAACAAAAUAUGGGAGUGAGACUGUGGGUGAUAAGAUCCAUGGUCGAAAGGGAAAGAGCCCAGACCGUCAGCUAAGGUCCCUAAACUAUGCUAAGUGGAAAAGGAAGUACGAUUGCCCAGACAGCCAGGAGGUUGGCUUAGAAGCAGCCACUCCUUUAAAGAGUGCGUAAUAGCUCACUGGUCGAGUAGUCGUGCGCCGACAAUGUAACGGGGCUAAGCAUAGUACCGAAGCUACGGAUCAAUGCAUUUAUGUAUUGGUGGUAGAGGAGCGUUCUUUAGGCCGAUGAAGGUGUUCUGUAAGGAAUGCUGGAGGUAUAAGAAGUGAGAAUGCAGGCAUGAGUAACGAAUAGGCAGGUGAGAUCCCUGCCCGCCGAAAACCUAAGGUUUCCUGGGUAAAGGUAAUCUUCCCAGGGUUAGUCGGCCCCUAAGGCGAGGCAGAAAUGCGUAGCCGAUGGGAAACGGAUUAAUAUUUCCGUACUUCUGUUAAUUGCGAUGGGAUGACGCAUAAGGAAAAGCAUAGCCGGACAUUGGUUGUUCCGGUCCAAGCAACAAGGUGUUGAGGAGAGCAGGUAAAUCCACUUUCCGAGCUGAGUUGUUAAGGGUAUUGAACCUACGGGGGAUAGAAUUAUGUGGACUCAUGGUGCCAAGAAAUAGUCUCUAAGCUUCAGAUUAACAGGAACCGUACCGCAAACCGACACAGGUAGGUAGGAUGAGUAUUCUAAGGCGUACGGGAGAACUCACGUUAAGGAACUCGGCAAAAUGCAUGCGUAACUUCGGGAGAAGCAUGGCCUAGCGCGUAAUGGCGAGGUUGCAGAGUCCAGGUCCAAUCGACUGUUUACCAAAAACACAGGUCACUGCGAAUCUGCAAAGAGAAGUAUAGUGACUGACACCUGCCCGGUGCUGGAAGGUUAAGAGGAGUUGUUAGCCCUUGUGGUGAAGCAGCGAAUUGAAGCCCCAGUAAACGGCGGCCGUAACUAUAACGGUCCUAAGGUAGCGAAAUUCCUUGUCGGGUAAGUUC
rnacentral:rRNA from 1 species